UAGGGAAUCUUGCGCAAUGGGCGAAAGCCUGACGCAGCCAUGCCGCGUGAAUGAUGAAGGUCUUAGGAUUGUAAAAUUCUUUCACCGGGGAAGAUAAUGACGGUACCCGGAGAAGAAGCCCCGGCUAACUUCGUGCCAGCAGCCGCGGUAAUACGAAGGGGGCUAGCGUUGCUCGGAAUUACUGGGCGUAAAGGGCGCGUAGGCGGAUAUCUAAGUUGGGGGUGAAAGCCCGGGGCUCAACCUCGGAAUAGCCUUCAAUACUGGAUAUCUUGAGUUCGGGAGAGGUGAGUGGAAUGCCGAGUGUAGAGGUGAAAUUCGUAGAUAUUCGGCGGAACACCAGUGGCGAAGGCGACUCACUGGCCCGAUACUGACGCUGAGGCGCGAAAGCGUGGGGAGCAAACAGGAUUAGAUACCCUGGUAGUCCACGCCGUAAACGAUGAGUGCUAGUUGUCGGCAUGCAUGCAUGUCGGUGACGCAGCUAACGCAUUAAGCACUCCGCCUGGGGAGUACGGUCGCAAGAUUAAAACUUAAAUGAAUUGACGGGGGUCAUAGCUGUUUCCUG
rnacentral:rRNA from 1 species